rnacentral:rRNA from 1 species
CAGCAGCCGCGGGAAUACGGAGGGUGCAAGCGUUAUCCGGAUUUAUUGGGUUUAAAGGGUCCGUAGGCGGAUCUGUAAGUCAGUGGUGAAAUCUCACAGCUUAUCUGUGAAACUGCCAUUGAUACUGCAGGUCUUGAGUAAAUUUGAAGUGGCUGGAAUAAGUAGUGUAGCGGUGAAAUGCAUAGAUAUUACUUAGAACACCAAUUGCGAAGGCAGGUCACUAAGAUUUAACUGACGCUGAUGGACGAAAGCGUGGGGAGCGAACAGGAUUAGAUACCCCCGUAGUCCCUGUCUCUUAUAC